rnacentral:rRNA from 1 species
GUGCCAGCCGCCGCGGUAAUACGGAGGGUGCAAGCGUUGUCCGGAAUCACUGGGCGUAAAGGGUGUGUAGGCGGGGCAGCAAGUCGGAGGUGAAAGUCCAUGGCUUAACCAUGGAAGUGCCUUCGAAACUGUUGCUCUUGAGUCCCGGAGAGGCUGUCGGAAUUCGUGGUGUAGCGGUGAAAUGCGUAGAUAUCACGAGGAACACCAGAGGCGAAAGCGAACAGCUGGACGGGUACUGACGCUCAGGCACGAAAGCGGGGGGAGCAAACAGGAUUAGAAACCCGGGUAGUCC